rnacentral:rRNA from 1 species
UACGUAGGGUGCAAGCGUUAAUCGGAAUUACUGGGCGUAAAGCGUGCGCAGGCGGUUAUGCAAGACAGAUGUGAAAUCCCCGGGCUCAACCUGGGAACUGCAUUUGUGACUGCAUGGCUAGAGUACGGCAGAGGGGAUGGAAUUCCGCGUGUAGCAGUGAAAUGCGUAGAUAUGCGGAGGAACACCGAUGGCGAAGGCAA